AGUUGCUCUCCUGGAUGGCUUUAUGUCUCCGCGGUGUUUCCUAGAGUCUCGGCGUUUCUACCUCUUCGCACCCUUUCCUGCCACCCUUUGUCCCCUGGAAGCCCGGAGACAUCAGCGGCUGCAAUUUUGCUACUCGCUGCUCGGCGUGGAACUGUCAGGACAAAAAAUAAUAUCCAAAGAUAUUUUGGCACUAACGGCGCUAUCUGUAGCAAGAAAGUUGAGCAGUGUGAACUGUUGAGACUUCCAAGGAGACUUCAGACAACCAAGACAGUGUAAAGGAAAACAGAGAAAAAGACUUGUUAGACAUUAUUAAGGGCACGAAAGUUGAAUUGAGCACAGUAAAUGUACAAACAACAAAGCCACCCAACAGAAGUUCACUUAAAAGCUACAACUGGCGGGCCUCAAAGAGCUUUAGGACAUGCUCCAAAGAAGAGAAAUGAGCCCCUGAGUCCUGAGUUGGUGGCAGCUGCAUCUGCUGCUCUGUUUUGACAAGCAAACAAGCCAGAACUGCUCAGGCAGCUCCGUAGCAUGAGGAAGAGUCAGGGGCACAGAGAGAUGGAGAGAGACCUAGUUAGGAAAAAUAUAUUCAGGGGGAAGAGAUGUAAUAGAUUUCACAUUAUGGCAGUUACUAAAGAAGCACGUGAACAGACACAUCACCUUCACUUUGGGAUAUGGAAUUUGAUAAGCAGUUAGCCACAGAAUAUGAACAACCCCUUGAGAAUGAGAUUGAAGAACUGAUCCAGGGGACAAAAGAGGGGAAACUGAGAGUUCCCAAUUAAUAAUGAAGCAGCUUCAUAUCUAAGAUCUCUGGUGGACUUUUUCUGCCCGUGGACGCCGCUGAAGAAGCAUCGUUAAAGUCUCUCUUCACCUUGCCGUCAUGUCUAAGUCAGCGUCUCCAAAAGAGCCCGAACAGCUGAGGAAGCUCUUCAUUGGAGGGUUGAGCUUUGAAACAACUGAUGAGAGCCUGAGGAGCCAUUUUGAGCAAUGGGGAACGCUCACAGACUGUGUGGUAAUGAGAGAUCCAAACACCAAGCGCUCCAGGGGCUUUGGGUUUGUCACAUAUGCCACUGUGGAGGAGGUGGAUGCAGCUAUGAAUACAACGCCACACAAGGUGGAUGGAAGAGUUGUGGAACCAAAGAGAGCUGUCUCCAGAGAAGAUUCUCAAAGACCAGGUGCCCACUUAACUGUGAAAAAGAUAUUUGUUGGUGGCAUUAAAGAAGACACUGAAGAACAUCACCUAAGAGAUUAUUUUGAACAGUAUGGAAAAAUUGAAGUAAUUGAAAUCAUGACUGACCGAGGCAGUGGCAAGAAAAGGGGCUUUGCCUUUGUAACCUUUGACGACCAUGACUCCGUGGAUAAGAUUGUCAUUCAGAAAUACCAUACUGUGAAGGGCCACAACUGUGAAGUUAGAAAAGCCCUGCCAAAGCAAGAGAUGGCUAGUGCUUCAUCCAGCCAAAGAGGUCGAAGGGGUUCUGGAAACUUUGGUGGUGGUCGUGGAGAUGGUUUCGGUGGGAAUGACAACUUUGGUCGUGGAGGAAACUUCAGUGGUCGUGGUGGCUUUGGUGGCAGCUGUGGUGGUGGUGGAUAUGGUGGCAGUGGGGAUGGCUAUAAUGGAUUUGGUAAUGAUGGAAGCAAUUUUGGAGGUGGUGGAAGCUACAAUGAUUUUGGCAAUUACAACAAUCAGUCUUCAAAUUUUGGACCCAUGAAGGGAGGAAAUUUUGGAGGCAGAAGCUCUGGCCCCUAUGGCGGUGGAGGCCAAUACUUUGCAAAACCACAAAACCAAGGUGGCUAUGGCGUUUCCAGCAGCAGCAGUAGCUAUGGCAGUGGCAGAAGAUUUUAAUUAGGAAACAAAGCUUAGCAGGAGAGGAGAGCCAGAGAAGUGACAGGGAAGCUACAGGUUACAACAGAUUUGUGAACUCAGCCAAGCACAGUGGUGGCAGGGCCUAGCUGCUACAAAGAAGACAUGUUUUAGACAAAUACUCAUGUGUAUGGGCAAAAAACUCGAGGACUGUAUUUGUGACUAAUUGUAUAACAGGUUAUUUUAGUUUCUGUUCUGUGGAAAGUGUAAAGCAUUCCAACAAAGUGUUUUAAUGUAGAUUUUUUUUUUUGCACCCAUGCUGUUGAUUGCUAAAUGUAAUAGUCUGAUUGUGACGCUGAA
ensembl:lncRNA novel transcript